UUUUUUUUUUUUGGUUUUGGUGUUUAUGAUGUCAACUUCAGAAGAAAAGGAAUAGCCAGCAACCGAUCAUAGCAGUUCCUAAUCAGAACUUUCUCCACAAUUUCCAGCGCCACCACUUUCGUCUUCCCGCCUUUCUUCUUUCCUUCACCAGCUCCUUCCCCUCCACCGUCCGCCUCCAACGCCACCACACAUCCACCCCUUUAUCGUAUCCCUUCCCGUUUUUUUAAUCUGCCACCGCUAUUGGCUUCCCAGAGCAAGACAGGUAUCCUAUCCUCCGCUAAAAUUUCAAGGAAACAAGGGCAGGGCGGUUAUAAUUACCUGUCUUGAAAUCACCCCUUUAAUUUAUUUAUUUGUAUUUUUCAUUUGGUCAGGUUAAGAAUUAAAGUUGUGACCUUUUCUAGUAUACUAAUCGAUGGAUUACGAAAGACUGACAUUUACCGCUUGCCUAUAUUGAAUUGUGUAAAGGCUUUGCUUUUUCUCGCAAGAUAUCAGUAAUUAUUUGUAUGCAAUUGAAAAUUUCGAGGUGGGAAUUAUUUGGUUAAUCAUCUGUGCCUGAUAUGUUAAACCCAUGUGGAAACUCUCUUCUAUUUUUUUUCCUAAAAUAUGAGUCUAUUGUUGUUUUUUCUUCUUAAAAUUUAAAUCUACCUAUGUCUCAUUCCUAAUUUUUCUUACUGCAGCUAAAAGUUUUGGACUUGAAUUCUCACAUUGCAAUAAGGAGUGAUGAAAAGUUAUUGAUGCUUUAAGUGCUUUCUUCCAAAGGCAGUAUGUCAUCCUCAGUUUAAUCAUUAGUAGAAUUUUGAGUGAUACUAGCAAUAAUUUCUUCUAAACUUGAUACCUUUGAACUUGUAUCAUUUUUCAUUCAGAUAAUUCAUUAGAUAAUUGAUUAAAUGAGUGUUUUUUAUUGAAAUGUGAGUGCACUAGACAGAUUAAUAAAUUAUUAAU
rnacentral:lncRNA from 1 species